CGAACUGCGAAAACGGUCACCCACGUUUUAUUAUCCCGGCGCUCUUAUGUCACAUAGGUUCGGUUGGUUAUAAAAAUUUAAUUUUAUGAGUCGAUCGAUUAAACAAAUUUUCGUGGGAAAUUAUUUUUCAGGUACAUGGAUAAGGAAAGCAUAUUAUAAAGGAUUGUAAACGCGAUCUUCAAUUAGGUAAGUA